rnacentral:rRNA from 1 species
UGGGGAAUAUUGGACAAUGGGCGCAAGCCUGAUCCAGCAAUGCCGCGUGAGUGAUGAAGGCCUUAGGGUUGUAAAGCUCUUUUACCCGGGAAGAUAAUGACUGUACCGGGAGAAUAAGCCCCGGCUAACUCCGUGCCAGCAGCCGCGGUAAUACGGAGGGGGCUAGCGUUGUUCGGAAUUACUGGGCGUAAAGCGCACGUAGGCGGCUUUGUAAGUUAGAGGUGAAAGCCUGGAGCUCAACUCCAGAAUUGCCUUUAAGACUGCAUCGCUUGAAUCAUGGAGAGGCGGGUGGAAUUCCGAGUGUAGAGGUGAAAUUCGUAGAUAUUCGGAAGAACACCAGUGGCGAAGGCGGCCCGCUGGACAUGUAUUGACGCUGAGGUGCGAAAGCGUGGGGAGCAAACA